rnacentral:lncRNA from 1 species
CAUGCCAAAAUUGCUUAUGAAUGUUCUGUCAUGUCAAAGUUGUUCCAUUACCAUAUAGAAGUAAACUCUGAUCUGUAUAGAUACUACCAGAUGGGUGUGGUGGCACAUGCCUGUAGUCUCAGUUACAUGGGAGGCUGAGGUGGAAGGGUCACCUGAGCCUGGGAGGUUGAGGCUGCAGUGAGCUGCGAUCACACCACUGUACACCAGACUGAAUGACAGAGUGAGACCCUGUCUCAAAUGAAAAAUAAAAUGAUAUUACUAGAAUAUACUUGUCUAAACUUUUACUUUGAGAAAACAGAGAAUCAAACACAUUGUUCUCACGGUGUUAACUUUCAAAGAAAUGAUCUGUAAUUUAUCUGGUGGAAUUCAAUGCAGUUAUUUUGUUUAUAACAUUUUUCAAAAGCUACGGUUUUCCCUGGGUGUGUGUGGGCACAAUGCCAUUGCGAUAACACUCAUCUUUUGCAGAGUGCUGAAAGAGUGAGCCAGGACAGCCUUUCGACAUUGAACAAGGCAAUUCCCAAUCUCUUGGUGGGUGAAUGGAGGAAGAGUGAUAUCCUGAUUGAUGCCUCCACAAUUACUUAAAAAUAUAUGGACACUCUAGAAAAUUACUCUUUUUGGACCAUCCCCUCAGGUCCCUUAAAUAUCUGUGUCCCUUAAAUAUCUGUGUCCCUUUACUGAGCAGCAAUUUGGGUCAGAAAAAAUGGGCUCUGAGGAUGCUCAGAAACAAAAGUGUUUUGGGGAGUAAGAUAUGGUUCUCAAGGCCUGGAGAGGCAAACCAUGUCCAGAAAAGGUCCCUGAUGAUAGAACUCCCUGAGUAUUCUUGCAGAAAUGAAUAUCCACCAGGCUUCUUCUUUUUUUUUUUUUUUUUUGAGAUGGAGUCUGUCUCUGUCGCCCAGGCUGGCGUGCAAUGGUGGGAUCUUGGCUCAAUGCAAGCUCCGCCUCCCAGGUUCACGCUAUUCUCCUGCCUCAGCCUCCCAACUACUCAGGAGGCUGAAGCAGGAGGAUUGCUUGAACCCAGGAGGCGGUGGUUGCAGUGAGCCAAGGUGGCGCCACCGCUCUCCAGCCUGGCAACAGAGCGUGACUCCAUCUCAAAAAAAGAAAAAAAAAAAUUUCAGGGAUAUUUAUGUAGUGACCUGUUAUUUAAUUUUUCAAUAAUAUAAAUCUGUUUCAAGAAAAAGAAAUUUUAAAUAAACUCUUAUGAUUUUCUUUCUCCUGAAAAUUAUUCCAGAACUUAAAAAAAAAGAAGAAACAAAACAGAGUAAGUACAUUAGCUUUAUUCAACAUAGCAUCUUGUCUAGUAGUAAACUACUAAAAACAGUCUCCUGAGUGGAAAAAAUAUAAAUUUUUGUCUAUAGCAUCAGCGUUGUCCUGCGUGUUCUCAUUAUUUUCUCCAAAUAAAUUGGCUCAAUAUGCUGCUAAGUAUUACCAUUUAUGUUUAUUUUGAAGUUCUAUAUCUUGUCUUUCCUGUUUCAUCUGUAAACAGGCAAUUAUUGCCUCAGUGUGUAUUCUGAUACAUUUUCUCUCUAAAUCUAUUGUCCAACAUCUUGCAUAUAAAAUCUGGCUUUUCUCUCAUAUAUCAAAAUCACAGGUCACAUAGUCUCAGUGCCAAGAGUUAUAAGAACAACUACUUUAUUUCACUCCCAUCUCUGUGAAUACAAAACUUCAAUCUCUAAAGUAUUUUGUAUCUAUUUAUAACACUAUGUUCCUGGUUUAUUAUUAUAUUAUUUCAUUAUUAGUUCUUAAAAACUUAACAAGGUGCUGAAUAAUUUUGUGAAAUAUUCCAUGGAGAACUACCAUUAAAAUAGUGAUUACUUUAA